GACGAACGCUGGCGGCGUGCUUAACACAUGCAAGUCGAACGAUGAAGCCGGAGCUUGCUCUGGUGAAUUAGUGGCGAACGGGUGAGUAACACGUGAGUAACCUGCCCUUGACUCUGGGAUAACUGCUAGAAAUGGUAGCUAAUACCGGAUACGACCCUCGGAGGCAUCUUCAGGGGGUGGAAAGAAUUUCGGUCAAGGAUGGGCUUGCGGCCUAUCAGCUAGUUGGUGGGGUAAUGGCCUACCAAGGCGACGACGGGUAGCUGGUCUGAGAGGAUGGUCAGCCGGACUGGGACUGAGAUACGGCCCAGACUCCUACGGGGGGCAGCAAUUAGGAAUCUUGCGCAAUGGGCGAAAGCCUGACGCAGCGACGCCGCGUGACUGAUGAAGUCUUUCGGGAUGUAAAGGUCUUUUUUGCGGGAAGAAGGAUGUGACGGUACCGCAAGAAUAAGCCCCGGCUAACUACGUGCCAGCAGCCGCGGUAA
rnacentral:rRNA from 1 species